rnacentral:rRNA from 1 species
UAACACAUGCAAGUCAAACGGGUGGUAACACCAGUGGCGCACGGGUGAGUAAUGCAUGGGUCAUCUGCCUCGUAGAGGGGGAUAACUACGCGAAAGUGUAGCUAAUACCGCAUACGCAGGGAACUGCAAAGGAGGGGAUCGCAAGACCUUCCGCUACGAGAUGAGCUCAUGUCCCAUUAGCUAGUUGGCGGGGUAACAGCCCACCAAGGCUUAGAUGGGUAGCUGGUCUGAGAGGACGAUCAGCCACACUGGAACUGAGACACGGUCCAGACUCCUACGGGAGGCAGCAGUGGGGAAUAUUGCGCAAUGGGCGAAAGCCUGACGCAGCAACGCCGCGUGAGUGAUGAAGGCCUUCGGGUUGUAAAGCUCUUUCGGUUGGGAAGAAGGGUGUGCGUACUAAUAAUGCGUACAUUUGAUGGUACCAAAAGAAGAAGCACCGGCUAACUUCGUGCCAGCAGCCGCGGUAAUACGAAGGGUGCGAGCGUUGUUCGGAAUGACUGGGCGUAAAGGGUUCGUAGGCGGGAAUACAAGUCAAGUGUGAAAUCCCCAGGCUCAACCUGGGACGUGCACUUGAAACUGUAUUUCUUGAGUCGAGGAGAGGGUAAUGGAAUUGCUGGUGUAGGAGUGACAUCCGUAGAGAUCAGCAGGAACACCGGAGGCGAAGGCGAUUACCUGGCCGAAGACUGACGCUGAGGAACGAAAGCGUGGGGAGCAAACAGGAUUAGAUACCCUGGUAGUCCACGCCGUAAACGAUGAUAACUAGAUGUUGCGGGAAUUGACCCCUGCAGUAUCGCAGCUCACGCA